rnacentral:rRNA from 1 species
GGGACAAGAAGACCCUAUAAACUUUGAUAUUUUAAUUAGUUAAAAUGUUUAAUUAAUUAAAAUGUUUGGUUGGGGCGACAGAAAAAGAUUAGGAAUCUUUAUUUUUAGCCGAUUUUAUCGAUUAAAUUAAAAAGGUACUUUAGGGAUAACAGCGUAAUUAUUUUGGAUAGUUCAUAUAGAUAAAAUAGUUUGCGACCUCGAUGUUG